UUUUAUUUUUUUACUCUUUUUCUGUUACUUUUCUGUUAAUUUAUUUUGCGAGCUCAUACAAUUCUAUUAUGACUGUUUUUCCUUCUUUUUACUUUCACUUCCUUUUCAAUUCAUUUCACUUCUCUUUUAUUUUUCUAUUAUCUUUUCUUCUAUACUCCUCAAAUAGAUAUACUUUAUCUUAUUUGUAUUGCUAUGUAUUAUUAUUC
rnacentral:lncRNA from 1 species